AUGGAAACAAGAGUGCAGAAACUUAACUGAAGGUGACAUUGUUCUUAUGCGUGAUGUUAGCUUGCACCGUAAUGACUGGCCUAUUGGUGUUAUUGAACAAACAUAUGCAAGCUCUGAUGGUCGCGUCCGUGAAGUUCAAGUGCGUCUCGGGAAGAACAGGAAGUUAUUCACUAGACCUGCUAAUGAAGUAGUAUUUGUUAUGUGUAAAUAAUUUGUGAACUUUAUAGAAUGAGAACAUUUUUUAUUGUGUACUUGGACAAACUUUUUGAUUUUUGAAGUAUUGUUAAAUUUUAUUAGUGAUAUAUUCAUAUCAGACGGGGAGUGUAAUGCCAAGAAUAUCGAUAGAGUUAUCCCUCUUUAUACGCAACUUGCUUUUUUUGAUAAUUGUGGUUAAUCCGACUUUGUUUUUGUUUUACUCAUUGUUUUUACACUUCCUGCAG
rnacentral:lncRNA from 1 species